AGUUCAGUUGGUAGAGCAUGGUGUUUGCAACGCCAGGGUUGUGGGUUCGAUUCCCAC
rnacentral:tRNA from 1 species